UCUCCUGACAACCACUUAGCUGAAUCCCCCAAACCUAACUUGAAAAAACAACAAUCGCACACUUUCAAGCAAGUUGUUCCUGGGGACUUUAGAAAUCUACAACACCUACAACCGAAGAGGUCAGUUUUAUGGGGACAUUUGGACAAAACUCGCCUGUUCACUGGCUAGAGCAAACCUCUAGAGCAAACCUCUCAGCUAAUCCUACAUCCAGAGGAAGGGACCCUUCAGACUCAGGAAACAGAGAGACUUCCAGAAGCAGCAAAGCAGGAGAGGCUUCCUGGGGAGAGGGUGGAAGCACCUCAAGAAACAGUCUAACUGGGCAGAUCAUCUGGUCCCCGUCAUAAGCAACAGAGUGGAAAUGAUGGGCAGAAUGCUGCACGUGUGCAUUCUUUAGCACAGGCUCCGGACACGCAG